rnacentral:rRNA from 1 species
GGGAAUGGACGCUGGCGGCAGGCCUAACCAUGCAAGUCGAGCGGUACACAGAGAGCUUGCUCUCGGGUGACGAGCGGCGGACGGGUGAGUAAUGUCUGGGAAACUGCCUGAUGGAGGGGGAUAACUACUGGAAACGGUAGCUAAUACCGCAUAACGUCGCAAGACCAAAGUGGGGGACCUUCGGGCCUCAUGCCAUCAGAUGUGCCCAGAUGGGAUUAGCUAGUAGGUGGGGUAAUGGCUCACCUAGGCGACGAUCCCUAGCUGGUCUGAGAGGAUGACCAGCCACACUGGAACUGAGACACGGUCCAGACUCCUACGGGAGGCAGCAGUGGGGAAUAUUGCACAAUGGGCGCAAGCCUGAUGCAGCCAUGCCGCGUGUAUGAAGAAGGCCUUCGGGUUGUAAAGUACUUUCAGCGAGGAGGAAGGCAUUAAGGUUAAUAACCUUGGUGAUUGACGUUACUCGCAGAAGAAGCACCGGCUAACUCCGUGCCAGCAGCCGCGGUAAUACGGAGGGUGCAAGCGUUAAUCGGAAUUACUGGGCGUAAAGCGCACGCAGGCGGUCUGUCAAGUCGGAUGUGAAAUCCCCGGGCUCAACCUGGGAACUGCAUUCGAAACUGGCAGGCUAGAGUCUUGUAGAGGGGGGUAGAAUUCCAGGUGUAGCGGUGAAAUGCGUAGAGAUCUGGAGGAAUACCGGUGGCGAAGGCGGCCCCCUGGACAAAGACUGACGCUCAGGUGCGAAAGCGUGGGGAGCAAACAGGAUUAGAUACCCUGGUAGUCCACGCCGUAAACGAUGUCGACUUGGAGGUUGUGCCCUUGAGGCGUGGCUUCCGGAGCUAACGCGUUAAGUCGACCGCCUGGGGAGUACGGCCGCAAGGUUAAAACUCAAAUGAAUUGACGGGGGCCCGCACAAGCGGUGGAGCAUGUGGUUUAAUUCGAUGCAACGCGAAGAACCUUACCUACUCUUGACAUCCAGAGAACUUAGCAGAGAUGCUUUGGUGCCUUCGGGAACUCUGAGACAGGUGCUGCAUGGCUGUCGUCAGCUCGUGUUGUGAAAUGUUGGGUUAAGUCCCGCAACGAGCGCAACCCUUAUCCUUUGUUGCCAGCGGUCCGGCCGGGAACUCAAAGGAGACUGCCAGUGAUAAACUGGAGGAAGGUGGGGAUGACGUCAAGUCAUCAUGGCCCUUACGAGUAGGGCUACACACGUGCUACAAUGGCAUAUACAAAGAGAAGCGACCUCGCGAGAGCAAGCGGACCUCAUAAAGUAUGUCGUAGUCCGGAUUGGAGUCUGCAACUCGACUCCAUGAAGUCGGAAUCGCUAGUAAUCGUAGAUCAGAAUGCUACGGUGAAUACGUUCCCGGGCCUUGUACACACCGCCCGUCACACCAUGGGAGUGGGUUGCAAAAGAAGUAGGUAGCUUAACCUUCGGGAGGGCGCUUACCACUUUGUGAUUCAUGACUGGGGUGAAGUCGUAACAAGGUAACCGUAGGGAAAGCCCUGCCGUCC